rnacentral:rRNA from 1 species
AAGCGUGCGUAGGCUGUUUUGCAAGUUGGAAGUGAAAGCCCAGGGCUCAACCCUGGAAUUGCUUUCAAAACUGCAAGACUCGAAUUCGGGAGAGGAUAGCGGAAUUCUCAGUGUAGUAGUGAAAUACGUAGAUAUUGAGAGGAACACCGGUGGCGUAAGCGGCUAUCUGGACCGACAUUGACGUUGAGGCACGAAAGCGUGGGGAUCAAACAGGAUUAGAUACCCUGGUAGUCCACGCCGUAAACGAUGUGUGCUUGUCGCUGGGAGGUUUACCUUUCGGUGACGCAGCUAACGCGUUAAGCACACCGCCUGGGAAGUACGGCCGCAAGGUUAAAACUCAAAGGAAUUGACGGGGACCCGCACAAGCGGUGGAGUAUGUGGUUUAAUUCGUCGCAACGCGAAGAACCUUACCAGGCCUUGACAUGCCCUCUAUGAUGAUCAGAGAUGAUCGUCUUCACUUCGGGUGGGAGGGACACAGGUGCUGCAUGGCUGUCGUCAGCUCGCGUCGUGAGAUGUUGGGUUAAGUCCCGCAACGAGCGCAACCCCUUUUGCCAGUUACCAACACGUUAUGGUGGGAACUCUGGCGAUACUGCCGGUGAUAAGCCGGAGGAAGGCGGGGAUGACGUCAAGUCCUCAUGGCCCUUACGGCCUGGGCUACACACGUACUACAAUGGUGGUGACAGUGGGCUGCCAGACUGCAAAGGCGAGCAAAUCCCUAAAAGCCACCUCAGUUCAGAUUGUGCUCUGCAACUCGAGCACAUGAAGUUGGAAUCGCUAGUAAUCGUGGAUCAGAACGCCACGGUGAAUACGUUCCCGGGUCUUGUACACACCGCCCGUCAAGUGAUGGGAGUUGGUUCCACCUGAAGCCGGGGCGCUGACCGCAAGGAAGCAGCUGACCACAGUGGGAUCAGCGACUGGCACUAAGUCGUAACAAGGUA